rnacentral:rRNA from 1 species
UGGGGAAUAUUGGACAAUGGGCGCAAGCCUGAUCCAGCAAUGCCGCGUGAGUGAUGAAGGCCUUCGGGUUGUAAAGCUCUUUCGCACGCGACGAUGAUGACGGUAGCGUGAGAAGAAGCCCCGGCUAACUUCGUGCCAGCAGCCGCGGUAAUACGAAGGGGGCUAGCGUUGUUCGGAAUUACUGGGCGUAAAGGGCGCGUAGGCGGUGUGUCAAGUCAGGCGUGAAAGCCCCGGGCUCAACCUGGGAACAGCGCUUGAGACUGGCACGCUCGAGUUCGGGAGAGGAUGGUGGAAUUCCCAGUGUAGAGGUGAAAUUCGUAGAUAUUGGGAAGAACACCGAUGGCGAAGGCAGCCAUCUGGACCGACACUGACGCUGAGGCGCGAAAGCGUGGGGAGCAAACAG